rnacentral:tRNA from 1 species
GAUUAUGUAGUGUAAAUAACACAUUGCUUUGAAGGGGCAAAGAUAUAUCUUCGUAAUCG